rnacentral:rRNA from 1 species
UGGUAAUGCCGGAUGCUCCAGUUGAUCGCAUGGUGUUCUGGGAAAGCCUUUGCGGCAUGGGAUGGGGUCGCGUCCUAUCAGCUUGAUGGCGGGGUAACGGCCCACCAUGGCUUCGACGGGUAGCCGGCCUGAGAGGGCGACCGGCCACAUUGGGACUGAGAUACGGCCCAGACUCCUACGGGAGGCAGCAGUGGGGAAUAUUGCACAAUGGGCGCAAGCCUGAUGCAGCGACGCCGCGUGAGGGAUGGAGGCCUUCGGGUUGUAAACCUCUUUUGUUAGGGAGCAAGGCAUUUUGUGUUGAGUGUACCUUUCGAAUAAGCACCGGCUAACUACGUGCCAGCAGCCGCGGUAAUACGUAGGGUGCAAGCGUUAUCCGGAAUUAUUGGGCGUAAAGGGCUCGUAGGCGGUUCGUCGCGUCCGGUGUGAAAGUCCAUCGCUUAACGGUGGAUCCGCGCCGGGUACGGGCGGGCUUGAGUGCGGUAGGGGAGACUGGAAUUCCCGGUGUAACGGUGGAAUGUGUAGAUAUCGGAA